AUUGAACGCUGGCGGCAUGCCUUACACAUGCAAGUCGAGCGGCAGCACGGGUGCUUGCACCUGGUGGCGAGUGGCGAACGGGUGAGUAAUAUAUCGGAACGUACCUUAUUGUGGGGGAUAACGCAGCGAAAGCUGUGCUAAUACCGCAUAAUCCCUAAGGGGGAAAGCGGGGGACCGUAAGGCCUCGCGCAAUUAGAGCGGCCGAUACCUGAUUAGCUAGUGGGUGAGGUAAAGGCUCACCAAGGCAACGAUCAGUAGCUGGUCUGAGAGGACGAUCAGCCACACUGGGACUGAGACACGGCCCAGACUCCUACGGGAGGCAGCAGUGGGGAAUUUUGGACAAUGGGGGCAACCCUGAUCCAGCAAUGCCGCGUGAGUGAAGAAGGCCUUCGGGUUGUAAAGCUCUUUUGUCAGGGAAGAAACAGCAGCUCUAACACAGUUUGCGAAUGACGGUACCUGAAGAAUAAGCACCGGCUAACUACGUGCCAGCCGCCGCAGUAA
rnacentral:rRNA from 1 species